UUACUAUUCCCUUCGUCCGAAAAUACUAGUCAACAAAAUGAAUGAAAAGAGAUGUAUUUAAAAAUAAAAUAUGUUUAGAUACAUCUUCUUUUAUCCAUUUUGAUGACAAGUAUUUUCGGGCAGACGGAGUAUAUG
rfam:Triticum aestivum genome assembly, contig: Triticum_aestivum_CS42_TGACv1_scaffold_592036_7BS